UGUCUUUUCUUUUUUUGAAUA
rnacentral:piRNA from 1 species